UGGGGAAUCUUGCACAAUGGGGGCAACCCUGAUGCAGCGACGCCGCGUGAGCGAUGAAGCCCUUCGGGGCGUAAAGCUCUUUCGACCGGAACGAUAAUGACGGUACCGGGAGAAGAAGCUGCAGCUAACUACGUGCCAGCAGCCGCGGUAAUACGUAGGCAGCAAGCGUUGUUCGGAGUUACUGGGCGUAAAGAGUGCGUAGGCGGUUUUCUAAGUUCGGUGUGAAAUCUCCCGGCUUAACUGGGAGGGUGCGCCGAAGACUGGGAAGCGGGAGUGUGGGAAAGGCAGGCGGAAUUCCUGGUGUAGCGGUGAAAUGCGUAGAUAUCAGGAGGAACACCGGCGGUGUAGACGGCUUGCUAGACCAUAACUGACGCUGAGGCACGAAAGCGUGGGUAGCAAACA
rnacentral:rRNA from 1 species